CGGUUUGUCAGCCUGAAACAAUGGCAACUCUGGCAGAUACGUUUCUUGCUGACUGUGAUUAGCUAUCUGACAAUGAAGCUGAUAUUCCUGAAGGACGCCGUGCACAUUUCAUCGAAAGAGACUUGACUGAGCUGGUGAGAUGUUGCAGCUGGGGGGGGGUGGUUAUCAAUAAAUUGAUUGAGUUGGGUCUUGAGGAUUGUGCAAAUGAGGUUAUCAAUUAUAGUAUUUACUCAGUGGAGUUUAGUAUCAUUUUGUUUGGUAUAGCCAAAUUGCAGAUUGGUUCUGCUGGAGGUCCUAUGUUCUGAAUGUAUAAUGGUUUUAGCUAUUUAUACUUUCUGCUUCCUUGAAGAAUUAAUCAUGGUUGGGAUCCCUGAUCAGCAGAAUAAUUGGAAAUUUGAAACUUCCAAUUUCAAAUAUUCGCAUCAGAUAUGAGGAUGUUGAGAGGUAAAAAGAAAACUAUAAAUUUCCUUCUUAUCCUCCUUAGUUUUUAUAUCUUGCAUGUAUGCCUUAUGUCUUCAAUGCUGUAGCAAUUUUGGUCAUCUGUUUGCAGCAGGCAUAACCUUGGAGAGAUUUUCAGCCAUGACAAUUGAUGAUAGUGAAAAGGGACAUUUGAGCUGCUUUCAGAAGGUUAUACUUACAUAAGAAUCAAGUUGCUAAACUGUAAUUGGAUUGUUUUCAUUAAUUUAAACAU